GUCCGGGUGGCGGAAUAGGCAGACGCGCUAGCUUGAGGUGCUAGUGCCCUUCGCGGGGCGUGGGGGUUCAAGUCCCCCCUCGGACACCC
rnacentral:tRNA from 1 species